rnacentral:rRNA from 1 species
AAUGAACGCUGGCGGCAGGCCUAACACAUGCAAGUCGAACGAGGUAGCAAUACCUAGUGGCGGACGGGUGAGUAACACGUGGGAACGUACCCUUUGCUACGGAAUAGCCCUGGGAAACUGGGAGUAAUACCGUAUGAGCCCGAGAGGGGAAAGAUUUAUCGGCAAAGGAUCGGCCCGCGUUGGAUUAGGUAGUUGGUGGGUAAUGGCCUACCAAGCCGACGAUCCAUAGCUGGUUUGAGAGGAUGAUCAGCCACACUGGGACUGAGACACGGCCCAGACUCCUACGGGAGGCAGCAGUGGGGAAUCUUAGACAAUGGGGAAACCCUGAUCUAGCCAUGCCGCGUGAUCGAUGAAGGCCUUAGGGUUGUAAAGAUCUUUCAGGUGGGAAGAUAAUGACUGUACCACCAGAAGAAGCCCCGGCUAACUCCGUGCCAGCCAGCCGCGGUAA